rnacentral:rRNA from 1 species
UGACACCUUCGAACGCACAGCGAAAGGUGCUUGCACCUUUCAAGUGAGUGGCGAACGGGUGAGUAACACGUGGACAACCUGCCUCAAGGCUGGGGAUAACAUUUGGAAACAGAUGCUAAUACCGAAUAAAACUUAGUGUCGCAUGACACAAAGUUAAAAGGCGCUUCGGCGUCACCUAGAGAUGGAUCCGCGGUGCAUUAGUUAGUUGGUGGGGUAAAGGCCUACCAAGACAAUGAUGCAUAGCCGAGUUGAGAGACUGAUCGGCCACAUUGGGACUGAGACACGGCCCAAACUCCUACGGGAGGCUGCAGUAGGGAAUCUUCCACAAUGGGCGAAAGCCUGAUGGAGCAACGCCGCGUGUGUGAUGAAGGCUUUCGGGUCGUAAAGCACUGUUGUAUGGGAAGAACAGCUAGAAUAGGAAAUGAUUUUAGUUUGACGGUACCAUACCAGAAAGGGACGGCUAAAUACGUGCCAGCAGCCGCGGUAAUACGUAUGUCCCGAGCGUUAUCCGGGAUUUAUUGGGCGUAAAG